UGGACAUGAUGAGCUCUCUUGGCCUGACCUUUUGGAAUGGAGGCAAAAACACUGAUUUAAUGAGCCUGAUCC